GACGAACGCUGGCGGCGUGCUUAACACAUGCAAGUCGAACGAUGAACCCGGAGCUUGCUCCGGUGGAUUAGUGGCGAACGGGUGAGUAACACGUGAGUAACCUGCCCUUGACUCUGGGAUAACUGCGGGAAACUGUAGCUAAUACCGGAUACGACCCUCGGCGGCAUCGCCAGGGGGUGGAAAGAAUUUCGGUCAAGGAUGGACUCGCAGCCUAUCAGCUAGUUGGUGAGGUAACGGCUCACCAAGGCGACGACGGGUAGCCGGCCUGAGAGGGUGACCGGCCACACUGGGACUGAGACACGGCCCAGACCCCUACGGGAGGCAGCAGUGGGGAAUAUUGCACAAUGGGCGCAAGCCUGAUGCAGCAACGCCGCGUGAGGGAUGACGGCCUUCGGGUUGUAAACCUCUUUUAGUAGGGAAGGAGCGAAAGUGACGGUACCUGCAGAAAAAGCACCGGCUAACUACGUGCCAGCCGCCGCGGUAA
rnacentral:rRNA from 1 species